ACAUGUUUGCUUUGGCAGUGUGUAUGCUAACAUUGGAACCAUACAGAAAACAUUAGCAAGGCUCCAAUGUGAGGGUGUCAUGCAAAUUCAUGAAGCAUUCCAUAUUUUG